rnacentral:rRNA from 1 species
AAGUGCUUGCACUUUUGCUGACGAGUGGCGCACGGGUGAGUAACGCGUGGGAACCUGCCUUUCUCUGCGGGAUAACGGUUGGAAACGACCGCUAAUACCGCAUACGCCCUACGGGGGAAAGGUCCGCCGGAGAAAGAGGGGCCCGCGUCUGAUUAGCUUGUUGGUAGGGUAAUGGCCUACCAAGGCGACGAUCAGUAGCUGGUCUGAGAGGAUGAUC